GGAGAUUUCAGCCUUGCAAACUGGACAUUGAGGGCGUUCAUCCGAAGACAGAGAAUCACUCUGAAAGUGAAGCCACUUGUAAAUGCAGGGCCAACAAUAGAGAUGGCCACAAAGAGUAAUAACCGGAUCGCGGGCAAAGUCCAAGCAGAUGUUGCAAUCAAAGCAGGCAGAAGUCUUCUCUGAGUCUGAUGAUUCUGGAGUAGGGAUCGAUUUCCACUCGUUUGAAUAAUACUGCUCCAAGGCCAUGAGAUUUGUUUCUGAGCACUUGUUCAACCCAAGGGUCUUCCCAAAUCAAUCAAGCAAAAGGGUUGAAAAAACAACCAAAGUUUUAGACUUUCAAGCUUCGAAUGGAGAAUCCCAGGUGAUUAAACAGAGGAAAUAGAGA
rnacentral:misc_RNA from 1 species